rnacentral:tRNA from 1 species
UCCCUGGUGGCUCAGAUGGUAGAGAAACUGCCUGCAAUGCAGGGGACCCAGGUUCAAUUGCUGGUUCAGGAA